UUUUCAUUGCAUUUUGAGGGCCAUAAGGACUGUGUUAGUGUGUUUGAUUCAUAUCAACAGUUCUAUCUUGAGAGAUCACCUCAAAAUAAGACUUUCAA